GACGAACGCUGGCGGCGUGCUUAACACAUGCAAGUCGAACGGUAAGGCCCUUCGGGGUACACGAGUGGCGAACGGGUGAGUAACACGUGGGUGAUCUGCCCUGCACUUCGGGAUAAGCCUGGGAAACUGGGUCUAAUACCGGAUAGGACCACUGCCUGCAUGGGUGGUGGUGGAAAGCUUUUGCGGUGUGGGAUGGGCCCGCGGCCUAUCAGCUUGUUGGUGGGGUGAUGGACUACCAAGGCGACGACGGGUAGCCGGCCUGAGAGGGUGACCGGCCACACUGGGACUGAGAGACGGCCCAGACGCCUACGGGAGGCAGCAGUGGGGAAUAUUGCACAAUGGGCGCAAGCCGGAGGCAGGGACGCCGCGUGAGGGAUGACGGCCUUCGGGUUGUAAACCUCUUUCAGCACCGACGAAGCGCAAGUGACGGUAGGGGCAGAAGAAGGACCGGCCAACUACGUGCCAGCCGCCGCGGUAA
rnacentral:rRNA from 1 species